UUCAUCUUUUCUCCUAAUUGCUUUCUCAUAUUCAUAUCAGCAUGUCUUAGGAGGUAAAAGUUACAAAGUUUAGCGAUUGCUUCAUUUUUCUCCAAUUUUUCUACAUUCAAGUGAAAUCACCUUUGCAAAAUUAUGACAACAAGAGAAAUCUGACAGAGCUGACUCCCUCUUGCUUCCAACUUCCAAGCUACCCUUAGUCAUUCCUGGGCAUAGGCCAAGCUAACUUUGGGAGGAAUUUAUAGUUUAACCUUUAAGCAAGGACAGUAAUAGCCCUUCCCAAAACUAAAUUGUCCUUGUAAAACUAACGAAAGGCCAUAAGGUUAGGGUUAUAAGAGGUGCCUGAAUUCUGCUAACACAUAAGCGCAGUUAAAUGAUAACCAGCCAUUGUUCUGGAGGUCACAGAUUUGUAACUUCCUCAAUUACUCUUGUAAAUAACAUCACUACUGUAGAACUGAAGACUGGCCCUGGGAGAUGUUUUUCAGACUUCUGGCAUUUCUGGCGAGUGACUGACCCCACCUGGACCCAAGACUCAUGACUCAGCCAGUCCUGUGGUCCCCACCCAGAGGACUCAACACGAGUGGACUGUUUUCCAUACGCUUGUGGUUUUACCCCCAAGCAAUCAACAUUCCCUGUUCCCUAGCCCCCUGCCCACCAAACCAUCCUGAAAAACUCCUAACCUCCUAGCCUUUGGGGAGACUGAUUUGAAGGAUAACCCUAGUCCUCCAGGGUGGCCAGACUCACAUUAAUUAAACUCUUUCUUUACAGCAAUACUGCCAUCUCACUGAAUUACUUUUGUCUGUGCAGCAGACAGGGAAAAUCCAC
rnacentral:lncRNA from 1 species